UUUUGUAUUCUAUUUUUGAAUUGCAAAAAUAAAAUAAAUAAAUAAAUAAAGUUAUUUCCUCGGGGGUUCAAAGGUGACGUCGUUACGUGGGUGAUGAUGGGAAACGAGUGACGUAAACGUCAAUGUACUGUUUUGAAUCUUUGGCGGGGUCGUUGGCAGCUGUUUCCCCCGAAGGUCGGUUUGGUCGCUGUGUUUUCAUUUUGCUUUAUGUCGGUUUUGUCUUUGUUGAAAAACUCCUGGUCGGGUGGAUUACUGGUGAUAUUUGGAGAGCCUGCUUUCCAUUGCUGAAGAGUCCGAUUCCGUUUCCGGCAGAUAUUGGUGGUUUUUGUUUGGCAAUGUUCACCUUUUUAUCCAUAUAUUGACGUUUUUGGGGAUUUGCGUGGGUCACUCAAGGGUUACACGAACUUAUGAGCGGGAGAAGAGCCGAGAACAGACAGGGCGCCGGCCGGCAGAAGGCAUCGGAAGGGAAAAUAUGGGCGAUCGCCUACGUGGCAAACAGAACUGCCCAGUCCCGUACCGGCGCUGUCAUUGGUCCUGAUGACAGAAGGAUCGCACCCAUGACAACAAGAGGAGGCUGUUGCAGCCACGUGCGCAGGCCACAACAUAAGCACAGAUUCAUGCGUUGGGUGAAUUCUUGCAGAGCCCUUGUAACAAACCAAGUCUUUUCUAAGUACACACAUAAGUGAUACACUUGGAUAAUCAUUCUCUCUCAUGUGUUACUGAACUGAGAUAAUUCAGCUCUUGUUGUAACUCUGUUUAUUUCUUCAUUUAUUUCUUCCUGAGACAAAAGUGCAUCAUUCAUACAGAGCACACACUCAAGCUAAAAUAUACAACGUAAACGUACAAUUGUUUUGUGUCCACAAAGUGCCAAAAAUGAUUGAUAAGUGAACCUGUAGUAUGUAUAUUGUACUUGUCCAGCCAACUGGAGUGUGAACAGUGUCUGUCCACAGCCCUAGUCCUGUUUACUUACCAAAUUAAAUGCACAGUGGUCAGUUGCUUUGACUGAAUAACUGAACAAAAUUUGGCACCAACUGCCACUCCCCCCCCCCCCCCCCCCCCCCAUUAGUGUUUGAUUUAGAAUCAACAUUUUUAAAUCACAGAUUGAUUAAAUCAAGGUUGCGUAAAGCCUUUGCAUAGGUUAUUAUUUUGGUUAAUUACUUGACACACAGGUAAAAUAGUAGGCGUGUCUAUCUCACACACACAUGCCUCUCAAUAUAUAUUAUGCACUCAAUAUAAUUUUCUUUUGUAUGCUAAACAUUGUGGACGCUAAACACAAAUAAACCUUUGACCAACAUUAAA